rnacentral:misc_RNA from 1 species
GUUAAAUCCUGUUUUAAAGUAUGAAUGUACAAACACUGGAGAGGUUUAGCCUUGAGAGUAUAGCGAAAGACAUGAAUUUCUGGUGCAAGGCUUCUAUUGAAGACCUCAAUCGGUUCAAGUAUAUUCUGGGUCCGUUUGAUGGCUUGAACUCUGACCUUAUUCAAGAGCUCUUGAAUAUUCUUUGUGAAAAGAAGGAGUUAAAAGUGUCUCAUCUUCAUGUCCUUGCUCACUCUAAUAUUAAACAUCUGGACUUGAGUGUGUGUAGCUCUCUCAUCACUGAUCAAUUAAUUACUGCUGUGGGAUAUCGUUGUAAGAAAUUGGCACAGCUCUCUCUCAAGAACUGUUCACGUCUCACAGCAAAGGCAUUAAAAAAGCUUCCCAUAAACCUUCCAUGUCUUCAACUCAUUGACUUCAGUGGAUGCCUGGCUUGCACUGAUGAAGUGUUGAACUUGCUUGGUUCAUCUUGUCCUGAACUAAGAGUGCUUAGGGUAGAGUCGUGCUACCUGGUCACCGAUACUGGUGUAGACGGAUUGUGUGGAGAUAAUGGCAAUCCAAAGUGCAGAAAGCUACGAGAAGUGAACUUGACAUCAACUGGCAUAACCAGUUAUGGAAUACAGAAAAUGUUGGUCUCUCAACUAAAUUUACAAAAAUUUUCUUUGGCGAUGACAGGGUCAGGGGGGGCCUUUGAGUUGAGCAGUGGAUGCCUGACCAGAAGUUUAAACCUCAGCUUGGUGGAUUUAUCCUACACACCCAUCACAGAUACAUUUGUCAAGAGUCUUUGUGAAAUUUGCCCUCUGCUUUGUGAGCUCUCGAUUAAUGGCUGUUCAUCUGUUACAGCGGUUUCUUUACAGUGCAUUGCAUCACUAACACAUCUCAGGGUGCUGAGUAUCGCUGACAACAAAGCACUCAAAUUUCAUCCUCAUCUUGUGCAAUUUCUUAACAAAUCUGGUAACUCAUUGCAGAUGCUGAACAUUUCUGGAAUGGAAAACAUUGAUACUGAAGUACUUGGCACUUGUUGUAAGUCUUUAAAAUGCCUUAUCAUGGCAGACUGUAGAGAUGUAACCGGAAGCUGUAUUCAUGUUUCAACUGACCAAGAAAGCAAGUCUUUGACUUUAGCUCAAGCUUGCCCAAAGCUAAAUACUCUAAACCUUCACAACUGCCAUUUUACUCAACAUAAGCCUUUGGCGGAGCACCUAACUUCGAUUUUAUCCAACUCUGCAGAGUUUAAAGAACUUGAUCUUUCUGGCAUUGAACAUUUGAGUGGUGAAAUUAUUACACAGUUUAUACGAUCCUCAGUCUUGUCAAAAUUGAGGUCAAUGAAUCUUUUAAGGUGUUGUGAGAUCACUGUGGAGCCAGUUGAAUUGCUGUUAGAAACAUGUACAGGCCUUACUCAGUUAAAUCUAUCUCACUGCCAGAACAUAUCUUUGAGAGAUGCUGAACAUUUAAGGAAGAUGUCCAGAGGUCGUGGUCUUAACCUUAACAGUCCUAACAUUACCUGGGUAUAACUGUCAAAUUUACUUAUUUUAAAAAGGUGUUGGUAAAACGGAAAACCAUGUGAAACAUGAGUCCAACCUGAGUGAGUCCCGGUUAGACAUUUCGUGACUUUUUUUAUAUAAAAUAUCAGUUCAAAAUUGUAAUUCACGUGACCAUUAUAUCCAUAAAAGUCGAAGAGUGUGUUUGAACCUAGAUUACAGUUUCUGUGAACAAAAAUCUAUGGCAUACGUAUGUGAAGCCACUAGGCCUUUGCCCACUCCUCCCCUACUGCCGAUGGGAUGUUUGCCCGUCACAGACCCCCCAGAAUUCUGUAAGCUUGCCCUAACAAUUUACCGGUACUCAUUUAUACACCUGGGUGCAGACGGACACUGCGAGAGUAAAUUAUCUUUCUCCAAAAUUCGAUGGCAAGCACUCGAACUCUACCAGCUCGACCCGGAGUCCAACACGACAACCACGAGGACAUCGCGUCAACGGAAGAGGAGUCCACAGAAGACUGGGAGAAGAUGGGGAUAAUGGUGCUUGCUAUUUGCUUUGUCGUGAAACUGCGUGAUAGGGGGAAAUGGUGCGGGAAUUUUCAUCCUUUGCUUCUCUAAUUUCCAGUGCUUCCGGUCGGUUAAGUCCUUCAUGCUCUUACCCAAUUUCUGAUUUUUAGCGAUUUUGGCUCCUGACCUAACCCGUAAAUCGAUAAAUUAUGAUUUUUUCGGACGUAUUUCAAUUACUUCUGGGUGGGAAGUGGUUCCAGAAAGCCUCUAAAAUCCUCAAUGUCAAUUGCACUACAUUUCUCAUCAGAUCAAGAGAGGGUUAAAAAACGGAUAUUUCAAAAGAGCCUAAAACAUCCCUAUUUCUGAGUAAAAUGGUUUAAACCUAAUACCACUUCCGAGGCCAAAAUUUUGCGGGUUUGUGAAGGGAAGUCCUUCGGCCUGGGAGUCGCAGAGCUCUGGCGAAACUCGCACGCUGAUUGGUUAUAUUGAAGCGAGGCACCCAGCUUCAACGCAAGGCAGUUCUGUCAUCUCUGCACUGAGAAAGAAGACGACAAAAAAUUCAAUCGCGGUUUGAAUUUAUUCAUUUGUCUAAACAAAAAUUGUCGGCUUGCUGCAAUUUUUAAAGUUAAAUUUCAUGCGAAAUUCAAUCGCCAGCCAAUGAAUUUCCUUAUAGAAUUUCUAUCAAUGACGGGCAUGUAAAUGUCGAUUGUUGUACACGGCUUUGUUCCAUUUCAUACAUGUUUUCACUGUAUACUGCAGAUAUCAGUGCUCUCUUAAAAUGAAGACGAUUCAUGCACUUUAAUUUUUUGAGUAUGUCACAAGGCAGAAUAUUAAAGUAGCCACAUGGCUGAGAAUUUCGAGCCCUUUGAGAAAUGAAAUGUCAAAUUCACUAGUAAAACUAACACUUGAUUAUUUGGCUGUUUAAUAUCGACCUCCUAAGCUGACAUUUACAUGCAAAAAGCUCACGGGGCGGCGUUUUUUCCUUCAAUGAAAAGACAGCUGAUAUAUUUGACUAGUCCUUAUUAGAGUCAUAUUACAGCUCGCGGUCAGUAUUACACAGGUUUGAAACAUUUUGUCCAAUUGGCAACAAUAACAGAAACAACGGGGAAUAAAUUUUUAUUUCUUAACAUUUGUUUUAUUCACACGUUUACUGCACUAUUAUUCAAUAUUAUUCAGUGCUGGCUGCACUAAAUAAUAUCGAUCCACUUAGAUGCGUUUUACUCCACGCUUUUUACUGGCGAGCACCGAGGGAGAUCCUGUCAUUUGAAUCAGAUUAAGUUGACAGGAAAGCUGUCAAUCAGACAAUACAGACUGACAUUAAGAAAUAGCAGGUGCUUUACCGACAUGGUAUUUCCGUCACUCCUAUCUUUUUUGACACAUUAAUAUAUUUGUUGAUGAAUUUUACGCUUGGAAUUUAAUAAGCAUUGGCUUCGCUUCGAGACCAAGCUCAUGUUGGACGCGGAAUUGAAGGGCUUGUAGCUCCGCGGGGUUAGGAUUUCCAGCAAAUAAUAUAACGCAGUAGAAACUCAGCUGGAAGCACAUUUUAGUAAUCCUCUACUUAGCCCUCCUUAGUGGCUGUUUAUGUCUCAAAGGCCUUUACUGUGUUGGUUAGAUGCAGCGAUCGAAUGAAAUUUACUACUACUACUACGAAAUACGAAACUGAACUCAACAUGUCACGGUGCCGACAAAGGGUAGUCGACAAGUACGAGUGAAUGCAGACUACGGUGAGCGUCACUCAUUAUUCUGUCAUUGACUACAAAGAAGUGUAGAUCGUGGUCUUCAUGCGGCGAAACCACCAUGG